rnacentral:tRNA from 1 species
GGUGACUCAGUGGUAGAGCACUUGCCUUGCAUGCAUGAGGCCCUGGGUUCAAUUCUCCAGCACCA